GACGAACGCUGGCGGCGUGCCUAAUACAUGCAAGUCGAACGCACAGUUUAUACCGUAGCUUGCUACACCAUAGACUGUGAGUUGCGAACGGGUGAGUAACGCGUAGGUAACCUGCCUGGUAGCGGGGGAUAACUAUUGGAAACGAUUGCUAAUACCGCAUAAUAUUAAUUAUUGCAUGAUAAUUAAUUGAAAGGUGCAAUUGCACCACUACCAGAUGGACCUGCGUUGUAUUAGCUAGUAGGUGAGGUAACGGCUCACCUAGGCGACGAUACAUAGCCGACCUGAGAGGGUGAUCGGCCACACUGGGACUGAGACACGGCCCAGACUCCUACGGGAGGCAGCAGUAGGGAAUCUUCGGCAAUGGACGAAAGUCUGACCGAGCAACGCCGCGUGAGUGAAGAAGGUUUUCGGAUCGUAAAGCUCUGUUGUAAGAGAAGAACGGGUGUGAGAGUGGAAAGUUCACACUGUGACGGUAUCUUACCAGAAAGGGACGGCUAACUACGUG
rnacentral:rRNA from 1 species